CUAAGAGAAAGAAAUGAUUUAAUUAUUUAAGGUAAAGCAUUAUUUUAACUCUUCCUUUGUCUUCUCAAAGACUUUUUGGGGGUUUAGCUCAGUUGGUUAGAGCAUCGGCUUUGCAAGCCGGGGGUCAAGGGUUCGAGUCCCUUAACCUCCAUUUGUUUAUUGCAAAAAUGAAUGGAGGUUGUGCCUUCUAAAUAUCAGCUUGAGCUUUAUCAAUUUAAAUUGUCUUUAAUAAUUAAAAAUAAUCUAAUUGAAAUUUUGAUGUCCAGAUAAAACAUUUCUUUUUUAAAAGUUUUUCUUAAGUUUAAUAAUUUAUUAGGACAAGAGAUUGCAUCUAUAGGAUAGAUUAUAAAAAAUAACGAUAUGUUAUCCAUGUUAUUUUUAAGUUAUCUUAUUUAGAUUAAUUUAAGUUUUUGUGGCUUGUAGGAAAUAAUAUUACUCGUGUAAAGUUUAAUAUGUUUGAUGUUUGUGUCUAUCUUUAAUGAAUCAAUAUAAUACAUGGUUUAAUAUUUGAGCUUGUAGUUUUGAUUAUUAUAUUACCCGUUCUUUAUGGUUUAGUUAUAAAUUUUUUGCAUAUAUGUGAAAUUUGAUUAAAACUUAAAAAAUCCGUCUUGAAUUGUUUUGCCUAGGUUAUUAAAUCUUUAAAAGGAUUUGAGUGUAAAAUUGGGACCAGGAUGAGUUGAACAUCCGACCUCAGGUUUAUCAGACCUGCGCUCUAACCACCUGAGCUAUGAUCCCUAAAAUAUUCUUACCCUUUAAGAUUCUAUUUAACUUUAUUACGUUUGUCAAUAUACGGUUUAUUUUUCUAUGAUAAGAUUGUACUAAUGAAUAGAGAGUUUUUUAUGCAGGAUGCUAUUGUUGUGGCUGAGUCUUUGCUUGGGCACUUGCUGGUUAGAAAAAUAGAUGGCAAAGAAAUUAUUUCAAGAAUUGUCGAGACGGAAGCUUAUAUGGGCGUAAUAGAUAAAGCCUGUCAUGCUUAUGGGGGAAGAAGAACAAAUCGUACCAUUGCCAUGUAUAAUAUUGGGGGAUAUGCUUAUGUUUAUAUGAUUUAUGGUAUGUAUUACAUGUUAAAUAUUGUGACAUCUAAUAAACAUAAUCCCCAUGCUGUUUUAAUAAGAGCUAUUGAGCCUAUUUCUCCAAAAGUUGAUGGAUUGUUAACUAAUGGGCCUGGCAAGCUUACUAAGUUUUUAAAUAUAGAUUUAAAGUUUAAUAAUAGAGAUCUUCUUAAUAAUUGUGAACUUUUCUUAAGAAAAGAUUUAUCUUUUGAUUUUGAAGUGGCAUGCUCAAAGAGAAUAAAUGUUGAUUAUGCAGGUGAGGAGUAUGCGAAUAAGCUUUGGCGAUUUUACAUAAGGGGUAAUAGAUUUGUUUCUAAAUAUUAGUAUUCCUUAUUUAUUUUUAAGAAUAGGAUCAAUUAUUUCUUUAAUGAAAUCUUCAACUUGGUAUGAGGCAAAACCUAUAUUUUCAUUUGGAUUUAAGAUUUCAUCUAUGUCUUUAGAUGUUAAUCUAAAACUUUUAUCAUUAAGGAUUAGUUUAAUUAAGCCGUUCUCAGUUGCCCCUGAAUAAAGAUUUUCCCUUACUUGCAUUGAAUAAAUUCUUAUCUUUUCAUGUAAUAUUUGUCUAUCCCCACCAUUUUUUGUUGCUUUCAUUAAUAUGUCUUCUGUUAAUAUAAAUGGCAUUUCUGUUUUAACAUGGUUUUCAAUUAUUUUUUUGUUUACCCUGAUAUUGUUGAAUAUUUUAUCUAGUAAUAUCAGGGCAGCAUCAGUAGCUAAGAAUGCUUGAGGAAUGUUUAGUCUUUUGCAAGCUGAAUCAUCUAGAGUUCUCUCAAGCCAUUGAGUUGCAGCUAUAAAUCCGCCACUUGAUUGUAGGCUCAUUGUAAACUUAGCAAGGGAAGCUACUCUUUCACUGUAAAUAGGGUUUUUUUUGUAAGGCAUUGCAGAUGAACCUAUUUGGUGCUCUGCAAAAUGUUCUUCAAGUUCUUUAAGAUGUUGCAUGAACCUGAUAUCAUUAGUAAUCUUAUGUGCACUUUGAGCUAAAUUGCUUAAAAAAUUUAAUAUUGAUGAAUCAAAUUUGCGAUCAUAAGUUUGACUAGUCAUUUUAUAAACUUUGUCAAACCCCAUUUUUUUUGCAAGAUUGAUGUCUAAGGCUUUUGCCUUUUCAAAGUUAGAUGCAAACAGUUCUUUAAAGCUAUUUUGAUUUCCAAUAGUUCCCUUUACUCCUCUAAAGCACAUGUUAGACAUAAUGAACUUAAGUUCUUGAAAGUCAAAAAUCAAACUUUGAAGCCAUAAGCUACUUCUUUUUCCAAGAGUUGUUAAUUGUGCUUCUUGUAGAUGUGUAUAUGCAAGUGUUGCCAAAUCUUUAUGUUUUAUUGAAAAUUCUCUUAAAGUUUUAAUAAGUUUUAUCAGUUUACUUUCAAUAAGUAAUAGAGCUUCUUUGAUUUGGAUUAAGUCUGUGUUAUCCAUUAAAUAUGCACUUGUAACACCAAGGUGUUGAAUUUUUCUAGCAUCAUCACCAGCUAAGUCGGCAUAAGCAUAAAGAUGUGCCAUGACUUCAUGUUUAAAUUUUGCCUCAUAUUUUUCUACAAGUUCAAAAUCAAUAUCUUCAAUGUGUUUGGAUAAAUUAUUGAGUUGAUUAUUGCUAAUAUCUAUUCCCAAUUCUUUUUGCACUAAAGCUAAGUUGUACCAUAGCUUUCUCCAUGUGGUGUACUUAAAUUUUGGUGAAAAAAUGUAAAGCAUUGCUUUACUGGCAUAUCUUGAUUUUAAAGGGUUUAUAUAUUGAUCCAUUCUUUAUUCCUAAAAAUAGUUUUUUCUCUCUCUGCUCCAAGAGAUAGCAUUGAAAUUUGAACCCCCACUUCUCUUUCUAUAAAUUCAAUGUAUUCUCUAGCCUCAAUAGGCAAAUCGUCAUAAUAGCUAAUAUUUCUAAUAUCUUGUUUAAAUCCCUUAAAGACUUUGUAUAUAGGUUUAGCUUUUUCAAGUAUUUCACAAGAAGCAGGUAUAUAGUCGUAUAUUUUUCCUUGAAAUUCAUAAGCUGUGCAAAUCUUAAGUUCUUCAAUGUCAUUUAGUAUGUCUAGUUUAGUUAAGACUAAAUGGUUUAGUUCGUUAAGAUUUAUCGAUUUUUUUAUUGUUAAGAGAUCAAGCCAACCAAUUCUUCUAGGUCUUUUUGUUGUUGAGCCAUAUUCCUGCCCCUUUUCUCUAAUCUUAUCUCCAAUAGGUUCUAGGAUUUCAGUUACAAAAGGUCCUGAACCAACUCUUGAUGAGAAUGCUUUUAUUAUGCCAAUUUUUUGCUUGAUUUUUGAGAUAGGAAUACCACAUCCUGUUGCUGCUGUAAUUAAUGUAUUGCUUGAUGUUACAAAUGGAAAUGUUCCAUGUUCAAUAUCAAGCAUUGUGCCUUGAGUACCUUCUAUUAAGAUAGUUUUUCCUGAAUUUAUGGCAUGAUUUAAUAUUGCUUCUGUAUUGGUGAUAGCAGAUUGGAGUAUUGCUAUAUAUUCUUUGUAUUUACUUAAAAUAUCAUCGUAAUUGAAAGGUUUAUCGUUAUAUAUUUUUUCUAUAAUUUCAUUUUUUUCAUCUAAAUUUAUUUUUAGUUUUCUUUCAAAAGUUUCCAUGUUAAGUAAAUCAGUAGCUCUUAUGCCUGUUCUGUUGAUCUUGUCAGCAUAACAAGGUCCAAUUCCUCGUUUUGUAGUUCCGAUUUUGUAAGUACCCUUUUUUUGUUCACUAAGCUCGUCGAGUUUAAUGUGAUAAGGCAUUAUUAUAUGCGCUUUAUCGCUUAUGAAUAUUUCUGUCUUUAUAUUAUUGUGCUUUAGCGUUUCAAGUUCUUUAAUUAAAAUUAAUGGAUCAAUUACUAUGCCAGGGCCAAGUAUGCAUUUUGCUCCUUGUAAAACACCUGAUGGUAGUAGAUUAAAAAUGAAUUUUUUAUUAUUGACGACGAUUGUAUGUCCAGCGUUAUUUCCUCCGUUGAAACUUACAACAUAAUCCGCCUUUGAUGAGAGAAAAUCUAUAAUUUUUCCCUUACCUUCAUCACCCCAUUGAGUUCCAAUAACUGCGUAAAUUGACAUUCAUAUCUCCUAUUUGUUUAUUUUUGCUACAUCCUUUAAAGUUCUGUGUUUUUCAUUAAAAUCAAUACCAUAUCCGACUAUGAAAUCAUUUUCAAUUUCAAAGCCCGCAUAGUCUAUCUUUAGUUCUAUCAGCCUUCUGGAUGGUUUAUUAAAAAGAGUACAAAUUUUAAUUUCUUUAGGAUUCUUGGUUUUUAAGUAAGUAAUUAUUUUAUCAUAUGUAAGUCCAGUAUCUAUGAUGUCAUCAAAGAUUAUUACGUAACUGUCCUUUAUAUCAAUAUCAAUAUCUUUCUUGAUUAGUACGUUUAGUGAAGAAUGAGUUUUAUUUUUAUAACUUGAGACUUGUAGAAAAUCGAUUUUUACGUUUAAUCCAAUCUCUCUUGUAAUAUCUGCAAAAAACAUGAAAGAGCCUUUAAGAAGUGAUAUAAAAACCACAUUACUUUUAUCUUUAUAGUAGUUUCUAAUCUUUUGGGCUAAUUCUUUAAUUUUACUUUUUAUUUUUUCUUCUGUGAAUAAAGUUGAAAUUUCCUCAUCCAUUCAUCGCUACAUUUAACUCUUUAUUUUCACCCUUGAUAUCAUCAUUAUAUUUUUUUUAUUGAUUUAAUUCAAGUCAAGGUUACAGGUCAUAAAUUUAAUGUGAUAUCAUUUAUUUAAAAGAGGGUGUUAUAAUGAAUGCCAAUUAUAAAAAAUAUAAGAUGUUGGUUUUUGAUCUUGAUGGAACCUUGCUUAAUAAUGAUCAUGAAAUUACGCCAUUGACUCUUAAAGUUCUUUUAAAAUUAAAGAAUGAUUUUCAUAUAAUUAUUGCUACUGGUAGAAGAUUUGAUGAGAUUACGGAUAUUCUAGUGCAGCUUAAAGAGGUGCAAAUUGAUGAGAGUUAUAUUGUAACGGCUAAUGGAGCUGAGGUAUUUUUUAAAAAUAAUCUAAUUUUAAGAUAUAAGAUUGAUUAUGAUGUAGUAAGAGAAAUUCUUAAGGUCAAGAGAGGAGAUAUUGAUAUUAAUCUUUAUACUUUUAAUAAUUGGUAUUCUGAUAGAGAGAUUAGAAGUCCAAUUAUGAAUUAUUUUAUUGAAAAUUUAGGAAUAAAACCUAUUAUUACUGAUUUAUCUAAGUUUGAGAUAGAUUCUUGUUCUAAAAUAGUUUAUUAUGCUCAAGAUCUAUUUAAGCUUGAAGAGUUUGCAAAUAAAAUCAGAGAAAAAAAUUUUAAAGAUAUAAGUAUGUUUUAUUCCGCUAAUGAUCUUUUGGAAAUUACACAUAUUGAUGCUAGUAAAUAUAAUGCUAUUAAAAGUAUUGCUUUAUUUGGAUGUAUUGCUAUUGAUGCUAUUUUAGCAUUUGGAGAUAAUGGCAAUGAUUAUGGGAUGUUAAAGAAUGUUGGAAAGGGCAUCGUUAUGAAGAACGCAAACGAUCUUGUUAGGAAUAAUUUGCCAAACAACGAGGUUACAAAAUUCAAUAAUGAUGAAGAUGGGGUUGCAAAGUUUUUAAUUGAGUUUUUUAAUCUUGAUAUUGAUGUUAAGUAAUCUUUCUCUUAUAUUCUAUCUAAAUCAUUUAGGUUAUAAAUAUUUGAUUUACUGCGUUUAAGAUAAAUAUCCGAUUUAUACUUUCGUAAACUAUGUGUUUUUAUAUAAUUUUGUAUAAUAAAUUGUAGGAGCAUUUUUAUGGCACUAAUUAGUUUCUGUGUGUUUUAUGUGUUCUUUAAUAUUUGAAAAAAUUAUUUUAAUAAAAAUUAUGAUAAUGGUAUUGACAUAGUAAAAUUAAAAGUAUAUAUUAUUCUAUGUUGUAUAAACGAUUGGCAAAUUAGAGAUGGAAGAUAAAAAUAU
rnacentral:misc_RNA from 1 species